GAGUAACACGUAUCCAACCUGCCGAUGACUCGGGGAUAGCCUUUCGAAAGAAAGAUUAAUACCCGAUGGCAUAGUUCUUCCGCAUGGUGGAACUAUUAAAGAAUUUCGGUCAUCGAUGGGGAUGCGUUCCAUUAGGUUGUUGGCGGGGUAACGGCCCACCAAGCCUUCGAUGGAUAGGGGUUCUGAGAGGAAGGUCCCCCCACAUUGGAACUGAGACACGGUCCAAACUCCUACGGGAGGCAGCAUG
rnacentral:rRNA from 1 species